AAUAUUGGACAAUGGGGGCAACCCUGAUCCAGCCAUGCCGCGUGCGUGAAGAAGGCCUUAGGGUUGUAAAGCGCUUUCACUGGUGAAGAUGAUGACGGUAACCAGAGAAGAAGCCCCGGCUAACUCCGUGCCAGCAGCCGCGGUAAUACGGAGGGGGCAAGCGUUGUUCGGAAUUACUGGGCGUAAAGGGCGCGUAGGCGGACGGUCAAGUUAGGGGUGAAAGGCCUGGGCUCAACCUAGGAACGGCCUUUAAAACUGGCAGUCUAGAGACCGGAAGAGGAUGGCGGAAUUCCUAGUGUAGAGGUGAAAUUCGUAGAUAUUAGGAAGAACACCGGUGGCGAAGGCGGCCAUCUGGUCCGGAUCUGACGCUGAGGCGCGAAAGCGUGGGGAGCAAACAGGAUUAGAUACCCUGGUAGUCCACGCCGUA
rnacentral:rRNA from 1 species